CAUCGCGGUGGUAGGGUUUAUUGGCAUCUCUCUCUCCUCUCUUGCCGCGCCCCGCCACCACAGAGCAGAACACCGCACCCGCCGCCGAAAUGGCCGCCGCCGCCGCGAGAUCCUUCCUCCGAUCCAGCGCUCCCUCGUCACUCCGCAGCGCGGCGGCCAGAGCCGCCUCGCGUGCGGGGCCGGCUCCGCUGCCGAGGCGGAUGCCCACCUCUGCCCCCCGCGUCCUUCUAAGGUCGCCGGUGGAGAUGAGCAGCGUGUGUCUGGAGUCCCUGAUGCCCAUGCACAGCGCCACGGCGUCGGCGCUCAUGACUUCGCUUCUCGCCGCCCCGGCUUGCAAGGGAUUCGGUUGGCUCUCGGAAGCUGGCAAUGAUGACGUGUGACAAUAUCUAGGUGGAAUGUAGCAGAUUAUUAUCCCUUCACCUCAUAUCUACAGGCCUGUGAUUAGUGCGUUGGAGGUCAUCUUGGAUGAAGACUAGCCCAUGCUUUUAUUUGCCAUCUCUGUUACCUCGGUUUGACCAUGAUAAAUGGACAUAAUAGAGCAGAAGUUGCUUUUAUUGCUGUUUAACUUUUAUGGUGUCAAUUAAGAGCUGGAGCUCAGGUUAUUAUGUUUCUAUUUGUAGAUGGAUGAUUUGUCAUUAUUGGAGCCCUGCAGUGAUGGUAGCUGGUCUGGAUUGUGGACUACCACCUCAUGAAUUUAAAGUACCUGUUUGGCGUCUCAGUUAACAUGUUUUGUACUCUGGGAUUCCAGUUUCUAUAAGCAUUUACGGAAUUAUUCUUGAGAUUCAUUGGUGGUUGUCUAAUAGAUUUUGGUCUUGACGACCUGCUUGAUUACGCAGAUCUGGAAUGAAUAAAAUUAACAGGGAGUUUCUGCUGA